rnacentral:rRNA from 1 species
CCUACGGGACGCAGCAGUAGGGAAUCUUCCGCAAUGGACGAAAGUCUGAUGGAGCAACGCCGCGUGAGUGAAGAAGGGUUUCGGCUCGUAAAGCUCUGUUGGUAGUGAAGAAAGAUAGAGGUAGUAACUGGCCUUUAUUUGAUGGUAACUACUUAGAAAGUCACGGCUAACUACGUGCCAGCAGCCGCGGUAAUACGUAGGUGGCAAGCGUUGUCCGGAUUUAUUUGGCGUAAAGCGAGUGCAGGCGGUUCAAUAAGUCUUAUGUGAAAGACUUCCG